rnacentral:lncRNA from 1 species
CGGGACAACAUCUUCCGAAAUGUGGAGGUUCUGAUUUAUGUCUUUGAUGUGGAGAGCCGCGAACUGGAAAAGGACAUGCACUAUUACCAAUCAUGCCUGGAGGCCAUUCUGCAGAAUUCUCCAGAUGCCAAAAUAUUUUGCUUGGUACACAAAAUGGAUCUGGUACAGGAGGAUCAACGGGACCUGAUUUUUAAAGAGCGAGAAGAAGAUUUGAGGCGUUUGUCUCGCCCAUUGGAAUGUUCUUGUUUCCGAACAUCUAUCUGGGAUGAAACCCUCUAUAAGAACAGGUAACCGUGAAUAAGGAUGGACAUGACGCACUGAUAAGAACCAACUGCGGUGUGAAGGAUGGCAAUACAUAACACGACCAAAGACAAUUGGCUAAUCACAACACUGCUGUGAGUGACAAUGUCUCUGCUGUGGUUAGCUUUGGUGCCUUCUCCAAGGUAAAUUCAGCAGUGACAUUAACACCGACCUGGGAACUUGGAACCUGAACCCUCAUGCCUAAGUAAUAAAACUAAUUGGAACAGAGACAUGGCACUUCUGUCUCUUACAUCAAUGUUGCAUAGAGCUAACUUAA